rnacentral:rRNA from 1 species
GACAGAGGGUGCAAACGUUGUUCGGACUUACUGGGCGUAAAGCGCGUGUAGGCGGCUUGGCAAGUCGGGUGUGAAAGCCCUGGGCUCAACCUAGGAAGUGCACUCGAAACUGCCUCGCUCGAGUAUCGGAGAGGAAAGCGGAAUUCUCGGUGUAGAGGUGAAAUUCGUAGAUAUCGAGAGGAACACCGGUGGCGAAGGCGGCUUUCUGGACGGUCACUGACGCUGAGACGCGAAAGCGUGGGGAGCAAACAGG